rnacentral:rRNA from 1 species
UACAGAGGUCCCAAGCGUUGUUCGGAUUCAUUGGGCGUAAAGGGUGCGUAGGCGGCGCGGUAAGUCGUGUGUGAAAUCUCGGAGCUUAACUCCGAAACUGCAUUCGAUACUGCCGUGCUUGAGGACUGGAGAGGAGACUGGAAUUUACGGUGUAGCGGUGAAAUGCGUAGAUAUCGUAAGGAAGACCAGUGGCGAAGGCGGGUCUCUGGACAGUUCCUGACGCUGAGGCACGAAGGCCAGGGGAGCAAACGGG